AGAGUUUGAUCCUGGCUCAGGAUGAACGCUGGCGGCGUGCCUAAUACAUGCAAGUCGAGCGAACAGAUAAGGAGCUUGCUCCUUUGAAGUUAGCGGCGGACGGGUGAGUAACACGUGGGUAACCUACCUAUAAGACUGGGAUAACUUCGGGAAACCGGAGCUAAUACCGGAUAACAUUUAGAACCGCAUGGUUCUAAAGUGAAAGAUGGUUUUGCUAUCACUUAUAGAUGGACCCGCGCCGUAUUAGCUAGUUGGUAAGGUAACGGCUUACCAAGGCGACGAUACGUAGCCGACCUGAGAGGGUGAUCGGCCACACUGGAACUGAGACACGGUCCAGACUCCUACGGGAGGCAGCAGUAGGGAAUCUUCCGCAAUGGGCGAAAGCCUGACGGAGCAACGCCGCGUGAGUGAUGAAGGGUUUCGGCUCGUAAAACUCUGUUAUUAGGGAAGAACAAAUGUGUAAGUAACUGUGCACAUCUUGACAGUACCUAAUCAGAAAGCCACGGCUAACUACGUG
rnacentral:rRNA from 1 species